GACGAACGCUGGCGGCGUGCUUAGCACAUGCAAGUCGAACGGUGAAGCGCCUUCCUUUUUGGUGGGUGUGGAUGAGUGGCGAACGGGUGAGUAACGCGUGAGUAACCUGCCCCCUUCUUCUGGAUAACCGCAUGAAAGUGUGGCUAAUACGGGAUAUUCUGGGUCUGUCGCAUGAUGGGUCUGGGAAAGAUAUUGUUUCGGUGGGGGAUGGGCUCGCGGCCUAUCAGCUUGUUGGUGGGGUGAUGGCCUACCAAGGCGGUGACGGGUAGCCGGCCUGAGAGGGUGGACGGUCACACUGGGACUGAGACACGGCCCAGACUCCUACGGGAGGCAGCAGUGGGGACUAUUGCACAAUGGGCGCAAGCCUGAUGCAGCGACGCCGCGUGAGGGAUGGAGGCCUUCGGGUUGUGAACCUCUUUCGCCAGUGAAGCAGGCCUGCCUCGUUUGUGGGUGGGUUGACGGUAGCUGGAUAAGAAGCGCCGGCUAACUACGUG
rnacentral:rRNA from 1 species